CGAAUGGCUCAUUAAAACAGUUAUAGUUUAUUUGAUGGUCUUUACUACAUGGAUAACCGUGGUAAUUCUAUGGCUAAUACAUGCGCACAUGCCUCUUCCCCUGGAAGGGCAGUGUUUAUUAGAUACAGAACCAACCCACCUUCCGGUGGUCCUCAGGUGAUUCAUAGUAACCGAACGGAUCGCGUUGACUUCGGUCUGCGACGGAUCAUUCAAGUUUCUGACCUAUCAGCUUUCGACGGUACUGUAUUGGACUACCGUGGCA
rnacentral:rRNA from 1 species